GCGGCGCGCGCAAGCGUCGCCGCCGCACCGGGCGAGGCCGCCGAUGCGUCGCGCGAAAGCGGCGCGCGUGAGGCGGCCGGCCCGAAUCGCGCGGGCGCGGCGGCGGGCGCCGCCGAUGUCCGCGCGAGCGCGGAUGCCGGCGACGCGCGCGGUGCGAGCGACACACGCGACGUGCGGCGCACGGCCGGUGCACGCGGCGCGAACCGUUCGACGGAGGUUUUCGGCGCGGGCGAAGCGACCGGCAUCGGCGCGUCGACCCAUGCGAAUGACGCGAACGGCAUGAACGCCACGAACCUCGCGACAUCGGCGGCUCAUCCGCCGCGCGGCGCAUUCGCCGCGGCGCACGACGCGCCGCCGUCUUCCGCCCCGUCCGACGCGCCGCGCGCGCCGAGCCAGAUGCGCCGCGUGCGCGCCGAUACGCUGAACCGGCUGCUGAGCCUGUCCGGCGAAUCGCUCGUCGAGUCGCGCUGGCUGAAGCCGUUCGCCGAAUCGAUGCUGCGCGUGAAGCGCGCGCAGCGCGACGCGGCCCGCUCGCUCGAUUCGGCCGUCGAGGCGCUCGCCGACGACGCGGACCCGCGCGUGCGCGGCGCGCUCAACGAGGCGCGGCAGAUGUUCACCGAUCUGCAGCGCACGUUCGCCGCGCGGCUCGACGAGCUCGACCGCUUCGAACGCCGCAGCUCGCACAUCGCCGAGCAACUGUACGACGAGGCGCUGCAAUGCCGGAUGCGCCCGUUCGGCGACGCGACGCGCGCCUACCCGCGCGUCGUGCGCGAUCUCGCCCGCUCGCUCGGCAAACGUGUGCGCUUCUCGAUCGUCGGCGAAGCGACGCAGGUCGAUCGCGACAUCCUCGACAUGCUCGACGCGCCGCUCGGCCAUUUGCUGCGCAACGCGCUCGAUCACGGCGUCGAGCCGCCCGAGGUGCGGCUCGCGCGCGGCAAGCCGGCGGAGGCCACCAUCACGCUCGAGGCGCGGCACAGCGCCGGCUCGCUGCUCGUCAGCGUGAGCGACGAUGGCCCCGGCGCCGAUCUCGCCGCGGUGCGCGCGGCGAUCGUGCGCCACCACCUGACCGACGAGGAUACGGCCGCGCGCCUGUCCGAUCAGGAACUGCUCGAAUUCCUGCUGCUGCCCGGCUUCUCGAUGCGCGAGCGGGUGACCGACGUGUCGGGCCGCGGCGUCGGCCUCGACGCGGUGCAGGAAAUGGUGAAGUCGGUGCGCGGCGCGGUGCGCAUCUUCAACGAGCCGGGCCUCGGCAUGCGCUUCGUGCUGCAGUUGCCGCUCACGCUGUCGGUGAUCCGCAGCCUGAUCGUCGACGUCGGCGGCGAGCCGUACGCGUUCCCGCUCGUGCAGGUGCGCCGCACGCUCGAGCUCGAGCGCGCGGA
rnacentral:rRNA from 1 species